GACGAACGCUGGCGGCGUGCCUAAUACAUGCAAGUAGAACGCUGAAGAGAGGAGCUUGCUCUUCUUGGAUGAGUUGCGAACGGGUGAGUAACGCGUAGGUAACCUGCCUUGUAGCGGGGGAUAACUAUUGGAAACGAUAGCUAAUACCGCAUAACAAUGGAUGACCCAUGUCAUUUAUUUGAAAGGGGCAAAUGCUCCACUACAAGAUGGACCUGCGUUGUAUUAGCUAGUAGGUGAGGUAACGGCUCACCUAGGCGACGAUACAUAGCCGACCUGAGAGGGUGAUCGGCCACACUGGGACUGAGACACGGCCCAGACUCCUACGGGAGGCAGCAGUAGGGAAUCUUCGGCAAUGGGGGCAACCCUGACCGAGCAACGCCGCGUGAGUGAAGAAGGUUUUCGGAUCGUAAAGCUCUGUUGUAAGUCAAGAACGAGUGUGAGAGUGGAAAGUUCACACUGUGACGGUAGCUUACCAGAAAGGGACGGCUAACUACGUGCCAGCAGCCGCGGUAAUACGUAGGUCCCGAGCGUUGUCCGGAUUUAUUGGGCGUAAAGCGAGCGCAGGCGGUUUGAUAAGUCUGAAGUUAAAGGCUGUGGCUCAACCAUAGUUCGCUUUGGAAACUGUCAAACUUGAGUGCAGAAGGGGAGAGUGGAAUUCCAUGUGUAGCGGUGAAAUGCGUAGAUAUAUGGAGGAACACCGGUGGCGAAAGCGGCUCUCUGGUCUGUAACUGACGCUGAGGCUCGAAAGCGUGGGGAGCGAACAGGAUUAGAUACCCUGGUAGUCCACGCCGUAAACGAUGAGUGCUAGGUGUUGGAUCCUUUCCGGGAUUCAGUGCCGCAGCUAACGCAUUAAGCACUCCGCCUGGGGAGUACGACCGCAAGGUUGAAACUCAAAGGAAUUGACGGGGGCCCGCACAAGCGGUGGAGCAUGUGGUUUAAUUCGAAGCAACGCGAAGGACCUUACCAGGUCUUGACAUCCCGAUGCUAUUUCUAAAGAUAGAAAGUUACUUCGGUACAUCGGUGACAGGUGGUGCAUGGUUGUCGUCAGCUCGUGUCGUGAGAUGUUGGGUUAAGUCCCGCAACGAGCGCAACCCCUAUUGUUAGUUGCCAUCAUUCAGUUGGGCACUCUAGCGAGACUGCCGGUAAUAAACCGGAGGAAGGUGGGGAUGACGUCAAAUCAUCAUGCCCCUUAUGACCUGGGCUACACACGUGCUACAAUGGUUGGUACAACGAGUUGCGAGUCGGUGACGGCAAGCUAAUCUCUUAAAGCCAAUCUCAGUUCGGAUUGUAGGCUGCAACUCGCCUACAUGAAGUCGGAAUCGCUAGUAAUCGCGGAUCAGCACGCCGCGGUGAAUAAGGGCCCGGGCCU
rnacentral:rRNA from 1 species